rnacentral:rRNA from 2 species
GGCAUCCGGGUGAGUAACGCGUAGGUCAUCUGCCCCUAUCACAGACAUAACAGUUCUAACGGACUGCUAAUAUCUGAUGAGGCGAGUAAUCGUCAAAGCUUAGGCGGAUAGGGAUGAGCCUGCGUCUGAUUAGGUAGUUGGUGAGGUAAUGGCUCACCAAGCCUUCGAUCAGUAGCUGGUCUGAGAGGACGAACAGCCACACUGGAACUGAGACACGGUCCAGACUCCUACGGGAGGCAGCAGUGAGGAAUAUUGGUCAAUGGGCGCAAGCCUGAACCAGCGACGCCGCGUGCGGGAUGAAGGGGCUUUGCCUCGUAAACCGCUGUCGGGUGGGACGAAAGGUAGCUUUGAGCUACUGGGACGGUACCAUCAAAGGAAGGAUCGGCUAACUACGUGCCAGCAGCCGCGGUAAUACGUAGGAUCCGAGCGUUGUCCGGAGUUACUGGGUGUAAAGGGUGCGUAGGCUGUUCUGUGCGUCAGAGGUGAAAUCCACGGGCUUAACUCGUGGGGUGCCUUUGAUACGGCAGGGCUUGAGUACGAGAGAGGUGCGUGGAAUUCCUGGUGUAGCAGUGAAAUGCGUAGAUAUCAGGAGGAACACCGGUGGCGAAGGCGGCGCACUGGCUCGUAACUGACGCUGAGGCACGAAAGCGUGGGGAUCAAACAGGAUUAGAUACCCUGGUAGUCCACGCCUU